AUGAAUGAGAGAGAUAUGAAUGCUCUUUGCUUACUGAGGAUUUCAGGAAACUGUACAAGAUGGAACUCCCUGGAUUUUCUCACACCAGAAGAGACUUAUCUUGCAGAGAGAGAAGAAUGUGAAGUCUCUGAUCCAGCCCUAGACAAAGAGCUAUUCUUAAGUAACGUGUGGAGAGGAGCUGAACGUAUGGUGUUUGACCCUACAAUGAAAUUACUGCUAGAUGAAUCCAGAGAAUUGCCGUGUGAUUUUGAAUUAGAGCAUCUCCAUCUACAAAGCUGAGAGGUAAAGGUGAAAUUAUUUUGAGAUAUUGAGAUGGAAAGAACCAUGAUUAUUACCACUGUACAGCAUUUUGUUAAUGUCAGAGAGGGACAUGCUAUGGUCUUGCAUUCAGAAAGAAUCAAAUACUGUGAAACCAGUGGGAGUGUAACAAUAGCAUGAGGAAUGCUGGUAAAAUACCAGCAUGACAUGGCUUGAAUUAGAAAUAUUGUAUAUUUGCCACAUGUUAGGAACCACUAACUCCAGUGGCUACUGUAACUGAUUAAGAAUUGUAUAGGAAUCUGCUUUCAAUAUCUGUGCUUUAAAAAUAUCUUGGAAUGUAACACUGGAAAAGAAAAUACAUUUACUCAAGUCUGCCCCUCAACACCAUUUUAUCAGUGCUUGAUUUCUGGUUUUGUUCUUUUUUCUUUUUUUAAUUAUUAUUUUUACUGUAGUCUUCAUUUAAUUUUUUUUUUCUUUUUUUUCUUUUUCUUUUUUUUUUUUUUUUUNUUUUUUUUUUUUUUUUUUUUUUUUUUUUUUUUUUUUUUUUUCCAAAGAGCUGACAUUAUCAGAGAUCACGUGCUGUAGAUCAGCUGAUAAAACAUUCAGGGUUUUGUUUUGUUUUGUUUUACAUCUCCUAGGUCUGUACUUGAAGUGCAUUGAGAGCUUAAACUCAGCCUGAGUAAGGCUUAAUGAAUGUUUUGAAGUAUUAUCUUCUACUUAGUAUUAAGGAAAUUAAUACUGCAGUGCCAAAAGUAUAAUCAUGGUAACUUUUAUUUGGUGGGAACUUGACCAGCCUUAACUCACUGAUAUUGUCAUUUCUGCCCUGUGAGUUUGAAAGGUCAAAGAGAAAACUCCUGUACCAGAGAAAAGAGCAGGAUAGCAACAGUUCUGUGAAUACAAGUUAUAUCCCUGACACAGAUUUCUUCUGUGGUGUAGAACAAAUUUAUUUCCCAUAUGUUUUAGCUUACUUACCAGCUAUAUAAAAACUCUGAGGUGUAUAUGUUUGCAAAAUACUCUAAAGCAGCAAGGUGAAAGCUUAAUAAUCCUUUACAGUGUUGUUGGUGAGGCCUCAAUCUCCCUCUGCAGUUGUAUGUAGUUUUACCAUAGACUUAAAUGGUUCAGAAUUAGGUUUAGACCAAGUCCUGAUAAAAUCCUUGCUAUAAAGAGCUUGGUAAUUUAAAGCAUUGUUGUCAGUAAUUGCUUUCACUUGAGUCAGUGGCUUCAAGUAUGCGUUCAUAUUAAUUAGUUUUCUAGUCUUCCUUAUGCUUUCAAAUCAGGACUUGAUUCUUCUUAAAUGUGAUACAGAAGUAGGAGCAUGCGCUCUUCAGCCCAAGAGCAUGAGGUGUCUUGUUACUUUGCUUGCUGUCCUAAUGCUCUUGCAAACAUUUAAUGCAAUAAUUAUUUUGAAGUGGCAUUCCUCUGUACUGUACAUCAUUGUGAAUGGUGCCGUCAGAUAGCAGGCCUAUCUACCUCCAUCAAAGAAUGCUGUUGCAGAAUCUGAUAAUGAAUUAGGUAUGUGGCACUCUACAGAAAGCCAGUAGAAGAUGUGAGCGUAACUGCAAAUAUGGCAAUUCUAGUAAGGCAGAACUUUACCCCUUGUCAGACUGAGUCUAAUUGUUCUUCUACCUGGAAGCAAUGCCACCAAAUGGUUUUUAGAGUGCACAACAUUUCUAAAUAAGUAGUGUCACUCAGUAGUGAAUUAGGAGCUUGGUUGUGAGUUCAGUAAAGUUACUUAGGAUGUCAGAGCUGCAAAAGACAAAACAAAAUGUAAAUGAUCACAUGGUAACUAGAAACACAUAUGCCAUGUUUGUAGUGUGAGAAUUAUUUGGCAAAUGAGAUUAACAUCUGCAUGGGAGACAAUGCGGAAAGGCUCUCGUUAGUCAUGUGAGCAUGUCUGAUGUAGAUGAGAUGUGUCGAGCAGCUUGAGCAAACACAACAAGUGAUCAUCCUGUUAAUAGAAAAGACUCCCAGAGUCAUAUCAUCGUGAUUCACCUUUUUGUGUAUGUUUGUGCAUCCUGUUGUCUGCUCCCUGGAGCUGCAGUGACCAACUAGAGUACUUCUAGCCAUCUGCUCAAAGACAUAAAUAGGAGUCCAGUAAAACUGUUGGAGUGGUAAGGUGCUUACUUCUUUUUUUAUUUGAUGGUGAUUUUAUGAAAUUUUAACUCAGGCUCCACUGAAAGACAAAGGCAUUUAAUGAUGUCAGUAGGAUUUAUCCAGAAAAGAUGUACAGGAUCCAGUGUUGCACCUUGGAUCAUGCCUGAGUACCUUGGGAAAGAACACACAAAACUGCUCACACUGGGGAAAAGACAACAACUUGAUACCAGGUAAGAAAUGUGCAGAAGAAAGACAGGACAUAGCUUGUUGCACCCUUCUCUUCUUUAGGACACCUCCUUCCUCCCAGGAUCCUCAGCCAUGGAUAGCUGUUGAAUGACACUGCUUUGCAUGGCAAGGCUAACAUAAUCUUCUGUAGUUUUGCAAUGUAAAACUUGUCCCCAAAAUUCUUCUGCCAGUUUCCAGACCCUUCUUUAGCUUUCCAAAAUGUCUUCUUUUCAGUAGCUUUUCAUCAUGCUAAUUCAUAGACCACUUCUCCUUUUGUCACGUUGUCUUUAUUCCCUCUAAAAUAAAUCUCUCCUUCCCUGGCCUUACUUAACUGCC
rnacentral:lncRNA from 1 species